UACGUAGGGUGCGAGCGUUAAUCGGAAUUACUGGGCGUAAAGCGUGCGCAGGCGGUUUUGUAAGUCAGAUGUGAAAUCCCCGGGCUUAAACUGGGAAUGGCAUUUGGGACUGCAAGGCUUGAGUGCGGCAGAGGAGACCGGAAUUCCCGGUGUAGCAGUGAAAUGCGUAGAUAUCGGGAGGAACACCAGUGGCGAAGGCGGCUUUCUGGACGAUAACUGACGCUGAGACGCGAAAGCGUGGGGAGCAAACAGG
rnacentral:rRNA from 1 species